UGGAGAUCCUGGAUCCCACUGAUUCUCCUAACUAGAAGGAACAGAAAAUGAAAGUGUGAAGCAUGGAGCUGCAGCAGCCAUCUUAGGACCAUGAGGGGAGCUGACCUAUGACAUUGAAGGGGACAGGCCAGUACACUGAAGAUGAAAUGGCAAAAGAACUUAAGUCCUUGAUGACCCAAUUUGACUGUGGGACACUAUACAGAUGUGAAAAAGAAGUAAGCUUGCAGGCUUCCCUAGUGGCGUAGUGGUUAAGAAUCCGCCUGCCAAUGCAGGGGACACAGGUUCGAACCCUGGUCCGGGAAGAUCCCACAUGCUGCGGAGCAACUAAGGCCGUGCGCCACAACUACUGAGCCUGCACUCUAGAGCCCGCAAGCCACAACUGCUGAGCCCGAGUGCCACAGCUACCAAAGCCCGCAUGCCUAGAGCCCAUGCUCCGCAACAAGAGAAGCCACCGCAAUGAGAAGCCCGCGCACCGCA